GGGCGAUUGGCGCAGUGGUAGCGCAUCACAUUGACAUUGUGGGGGUCACUGGUUCAAGUCCAGUAUCGCCCACCA
rnacentral:tRNA from 1 species